GCAUGUUAUGUGGGAGGUUAUAGGUCGUGUUUCACCUGUUGAGAAAAAUGUGUAGCUUGUAAGGCCAUCGGUUCUAAUAUAGGGGCAGGUUAGGCAGUUUUUUCCGCAACGGAAAGCACCUGGAGGUUGGUUGGUAGGAGAGCGGUCGGAAGAUAGCUUGGCUUUAACAAGGAUGUCGCGGAGGAGGUGAGCGGCGAGAGGCGACAAGAGGGGGCUCAGUGAAAACCUUAUGGCAUCGCUUAGCAACCUACUAACAGACUCUCUCUUGGUCACACUCGACGUCUCAGCCUCGCUCCGUGUUCAGCCGAGCGGUACGCUCGAACAGAAUUAACAUCAACGUUUUAACGUGGCAGAGCGCAGCGACUGAACAACAAUAGAAACCUGCUUAAAAUGUAUUUACCAACAACGUGAACGCAAACAGUGAGCGUUCUUUUGAGAUGACGCUUGUGAAAAUAAAGAAACCUGAGAACU